CCGCACCACCUCUACCAGCUGAGACACCCUGCGUAACCUCAAACCGUGUUGAGCCUCCGUUUGUUUCAUAUCCAUGACUUGGAGGAGUGAAGAUGCCUUCCUCCUGGCAGGCACAGCGGAGUCCCACUCAUCUGUGCAGGGCCGUGACACACACGAGGUGCCCAGUAACCCGAGGCCCCGAGCGAGCCCUUCCUGAGCACUUCCACAUGCCGCCACAUCUGCCCUUCACAGCAGCCCAGGGAAGAAGGGCUCAGCUCCACCGUGCCAGCGAGGAAACGGAGGAAUCAAACUCAUGACUUCAGGCUCGCCAGGCAAGCGCUUAUGCCACUGAGCUACAUCCCCGGCUACCUGGAUGCUUGGGCUCCACUUUUCACCAUGAACCAAGCUUUCUACCAUGAGCUCAAAGCCCUCAAAGGCUGUGAUCUCAGACUGCCCUACCUCCCAGGACACAUGCACAGAGCAGUUCCCAGAGCCCUGCACGUGGGCUUCUCCCGAGAUCUCAGCAGGUUUUGGACAGCAGGCCUAGACCUGAGAUCCGCCUGAGAAGUGAGUGAGAGGUCAGCCCCCUUUCGGACUGUGCCACUGUACUCUCUUCGCACGGCGCCACUCUCCUGCCCUAGAGACACUUCUUUCCCUGCCUCAUGUGGCCCAAACUUGCUCUGCAGAGCCUGUUUCUUUUCCUACCUUGAAUAAAACGUUGGUACUGUU